CAGGACAAGGCGGGAAUUGACAGGAAGUAUUGGGAAUCAAACUCAAGACCUUGCACUUGCGAGGCAGGCAUGGCACUGAGCUAAAUCCCCGGCUUAACAUACAUUUUAAUGGGGUGAGUUUCCACACUUUUUCUCCCAUAUCUACUCUGUUACAACACAAACCACUCUCUCAAGCACUUUUGCUUCAGGAACAACCUGAGCUCCAACAAACUAACAAGCUCUUACUUCGGGGAACUGCUAUACUUUCUGGAAAAGAGUAGAUUUCAUCAGUAACUCAAGAACGCCCAUUUCCUGCGGCCCCACCCACCUCCGUCCUUGCCUUCACCAAGGCUUGGCUCGGCAUGGUGCUGCCACCUAGAGGUCCGCGUCGGACAUUACCUCCAGCCCUCUCCGCAGAGGCCACCCUUCCAGCUGGAGUUUGAAGUUCUCUUUACAGCCCUGAGGAUUCAGAACUAAGGAUCAGAUCUUCCAGUGUGAGGACAGCCUGAGAAGAGCAAGACAGAAUGAAAUAGAGAAUGCCAGUGCGUGCUGCCACCGGCCAAGCCUGAAGAGGACUCUUCGUCUCUUCCCGCCCCCUUUCUCCUUCCUGCACCCUUUCUCCUCCGUAGAUUAGAGUCAGACAGACACACUCAUUUUGUAGACCCUGGAUGGCACAGCCUGGGAGAUAGUUACAGUGUAUCCUUCCCUGUUCUCUUCUUGUUCAUGCCCCAAUAACGAAACAAUCACGCUACGAUCUGCCCAGGCCACGUGAGGCCAUGUAGCACCAUUUGCCCCACCUUCUCUUCCUGUUUACCUUCCACUAUAAAUAAAGUGUAUGGUUCCCCAGGCUGCCGUUAACUCCCG
rnacentral:lncRNA from 1 species